GACUGUCUCAAAAAAAAAAGAAAAGAAAAUUAAUAAACUACUCACAACAGCAUGGAUGAAUUUCACAGACAUAAUGAUAAAUGACAGACAUACCUUUAAAUGACCAAAAGAAUACAUAGUCUGUAAUUCUAAAGGCAGAUGAAACUAAUGAAUGGUGCCAGAAAUCAGGACAGAGGUUGCCUUUGGAGAGGAUGGUGGGUGUGGUGAAAGGAGUUAUGUCGGGGCUUCCGAGGCGCCAGUAAUGUUCUGUCCUUUUUAUUUGGGCGGUGGUUAUAAUUUGUGAUAAUACAUUUGGCUAUAUACUUGCCAGUUGUAUAAUUUGGGGCAUAGAUGUUAUUCUUGAAUUUUUUAAGUUUUUUUUGUUGUUUUUGUUUUUUGGUAUGAAGACGUGAAAAAUGUCUGCAGUGGGUCCUCAUGAAGACUCAUUCUGUGUCCUUGACAACAGAUCCAGCACAACUGGGGCUGUUAGUGACGGUGUGCAGGGCGUGUGCAGGGCGUGGGCCAGCAGCAGGGGCAGUGGCAGAGGUCGGGUGGGCCUUCCUGUGAGGGUUGCCCUCAUGUGUCCAGUGCUGUGCUCUUUGCCGAUGGGCUCAUCUGAGGAUAGACAGAGUGAGUAAAUCGGAUGGGCUACUGGUCCUGCUCACCGUCCUGGGAGCGGAGUUUCUCUCAAGUGAGUUUUUGCUGAUUAUUAAGUGGGAGAGAAAUGGGGAUUAUGGACUCUGACAGGAACUCUGAGGACUGAACUCUGAGCUGCCAAGUGAGGACAGACUUAACUGUUUUCACAAUUAAGUGAACUGGAAGGAAGGUUGGUGUCCCUGUGUGGCUGUUAAGGAGCCACAGGUCACUGUGAACAAGCCUAAGCUGACUUAGCAAACACCAUAUUUCACUGAUUCUAAAAUGGUUCCCCCUCCCCCACUUUUUAACAUUUAAAAAAUUAGGAUUGCAGUUGCCAAGUCAUUUUUCUUUCAGAAAUACAGGGCAUCUCAUGCUUGAUGGUACCUUCAAGUCAAUGAAAUGAGGCACCACCUUCAAUGUUGUCCCCCUCAUUAAGCUUCAGUAUCUACGUGCAGAUGAUAGACUUGGGUUUAUUUUUGAAGUCUAAAUUGCGCUUGGGAACUUAGGGACCAUUUACCCGAGUGCCUUCUAUCCCUCCUUGUCACAUUUGUUGCCUGGGUGCCAGCUGUAGAAGGCCCACUUUAAUGAAUAUAUAAAAUGAUUUGCAAUAGGGUUAUGUGUGUUUAUAUGGAAGGGAGUGAGAUUUCUGCAAACUAGCCAUCUCUCCUCCUGUGGUUUGAAUGUGCCCUCCCAAGAAAUAUGUACUGGAAACUUCCCCAAUGCAAUAGAGUUGAGAGGUGGGACCUUAAGAGGUGAUUCCAUCAUGAGGGGUCUGCCCAUGAAUGGAUUAAUGCCGUUAUCACUGAGUAAGUUAGUUAUCUCAGUAGAGUGAGUCCUGCUAAAAGGGUGAGUUUGGGUUGAGGAGCUGGCCUGCAACCUGCCCGGGCAGCGCCGGUAGCCACUCCUGCCUGAGUGGCCACCUCCAGACACCUCCUGAGGGAUCCCGCUGAGGAGGAAGCCGAGGUGUCACUGGCUUCAGCCUUUGCCAGUGGACAAUUAAGGGGGACUACAGGUUAUGGGUGCUUCAUGUGUGCUUUCAGAGCAGUAGUGUGAGGAAGGUUGAAGUGGGAUGGCAAGACAGCCUCAUCCCUAUGACAGUAACUCCGGUGAUCCAGAGAAUUGGGAUCGGAAAUUGCAUAGUAGACCUCAUAAACUUUAUAAACAUUCAAGUACUCCCUCACGUGUUGCUAAAGGAGGAGUCGACCAUACCAAAAUGAGUCUACAUGGUGCUAGUGGGGGGCAUGAGAGAUCAAGAGAUAGACGAAGGUCAAGUGACAGAUCGCGAGAUUCAUCUCGUGAAAGAACAGAAUCUCAACUCACUCCUUGUAUCAGGAAUGUUACUUCUCCAACAUGACAGCAUCAUGUUAAAGGAGAAAAAGAUCACAGUUCCUCUUGUCCAAGUAGUCCUCGUCCUCAGAAAGCAUCCCCAAAUAGUUCCAUUAGCAGUGUUGGGAACAGCAGCAGAAACAGUAGUCAGUCAAGUUCAGAUGGUAGCUGUAAGGCAUCUGGGGAAAUGGUGUUUGUAUGUGAAAAUGCAAAAGAAGGAGCUCGGAAUGUCAGAACCUCAGAACGAGUGACACUAAUAGUGGAUAACACUAGAUUUGUUGUAGACCCAUCUAUUUUUACUGCACAGCCAAAUACAAUGUUGGACAGGAUGUUUGGGUCUGGCCAAGAACAUAACUUUACAUGUUCCAGUGAGAAGGGAGAGUAUGAAGUGGCAGAGGGAAUUGGUUCCGCUGUGUUUUGAGCUAUUCUGGAUUACUAUGAGACAGGAAUAAUCCGUUGUCCUGAUGGCAUAUCUAUUCCUGAACUGAGAGAAGCAUGUGACUAUCUUUGUAUCUCUUUUGAAUAUAGUACUAUUAAAUGUAGAGAUCUCAGUGCCCUAAUGUAUGCGUUAUCGAAUGAUGGUGCUCGUAGACAAUUUGAAUUUUAUCUGGAAGAAAUGAUCCUCCCUCUCAUGGUAGCUAGUGCCCAGAGUGGGGAACGAGAAUGCCAUAUAGUGGUGCUUACAGAUGAUGAUGGGUUGAUUGGGAUGAAGAAUAUCCACCACAGAUGGGAGAAGAAUAUUCACAAAUUAUUUAUAGCACAAAAUUAUAUAGAUUUUUCAAAUACAUUGAAAACAGAGAUGUGGCCAAAUUAGUUUUAAAGGAGAGGGGUCUUAAGAAGAUUAGAUUGGAAAUAGAAGGUUAUCCUACCUCUAAAGAAAAAGUAAAGAAAAAGCCUGGAGGCCGCCCAGAAGUGAUUUACAACUGUGUUCAAAGACCCUUUAUUCAAAUGUCCUGGGAAAAGGAAGAAGGAAAGAGUCGGCAUGUAGACUUUCAGUGUGUUAAGAGUAAACCCAUCACCAACCUUGCAGCAGCUGCUGCAGACAUUCCCCAAGACCAGCUGGUAGUCAUGCAUCCAGCCCUCAAGUGGACGAACUGGAUGUUCUCCCCAUGCAUCCCCCAUCUGGCAACAACGACCUCGAUCCUGAUGCACAGAAUCCAAUGCUGUGAUGCUGAUCCUUGAAACUAUAGCAUGCUACUCUUCAUAGUGACGUUGUACUCUUCCUCAUUCUGCACUGCAAGGCCACUCUUCUUCGUUGUGAGAUGCACAUAACAAUGUUUAGAAUAUUGCAGUGUAGGCUUUUUGAAAGACCAAAGGUAGCUGAAUGGUUUUUUAAAUGAGUACAACUCGAGCAUCCUGAAGUUCCAGUUAUAUAAAUGUAUUUGUUUAUCAGUAGGUUUGUGAAAUUGGUUCUUUGUAUGGGGGAACAGUCCUUUUUCACACAUUUAGGGCUUUUCAGAAGUGGUGAAAAUUGGCAGCUGGGGUGCUUUCAGUCUAGAUUGAUAGUCACCACACCCCAGAUAAAAUGCAGAACAUUAUAUAGUUGCACUUUAUAAAUGGUGGUUAAAUGGAACUGUUCAAGCCAUUUUAUAGUUGUGAUGCACAAUAUAAGUUAAUUAAGUGCUUCUAUCAAAGUAUUCCUUCAAUAAAAAUGUGUAUAGUUCGCUGCCCAUGAUGUGCAAAAAAUGAGUAUUUAUCUUGGGCUUACUUGAAUGAUAGAAUGAGAUUCAGUGCCCAUAUUUUAACAGUUUGGUUAUCUCCAGUGCCAUUUUACCCUUUAGAGUGAGUUACAUGCAGGGAUUGUGAACAUCAGAAGUGGUUUAUUAUCCAGUCUGCCUUACCCUUAGUCUGUUCACAGAUAUUUAUUUACUAAUGCUUUGUUUUCCUAAGAGUUAUGGGAUAGGAAAAUGAAGUGUUUGCUCUUCAUUUACUAAAUGAUUGUAAACUCGAGUUUUUCAUCAAAAUAAAAUUCCAUUGUUUUAAAAAAA